UACGGGGGGGGGCAAGCGUUGUCCGGAUUUACUGGGCGUAAAGAGCGCGCAGGCGGUCGAAUAAGUCGAAUGUGAAAGGCCCCCGGCUUAACUGGGGAGGGUCAUUCGAUACUGCUCGACUUGAAGGCAGGAGAGGGUAGUGGAAUUCCCGGUGUAGUGGUGAAAUGCGUAGAUAUCGGGAGGAACACCAGUGGCGAAGGCGACUACCUGGCCUGUUCUUGACGCUGAGGCGCGAAAGCUAGGGGAGCAAACGGG
rnacentral:rRNA from 1 species